rnacentral:rRNA from 1 species
CGGACGGGUGAGUAAUGUCUGGGAAACUGCCUGAUGGAGGGGGGUAACUACUGGAAACGGUGGCUAAUACCGCAUAACGUCGCAAGACCAAAGAGGGGGACCUUAGGGCCUCUUGCCAUCGGAUGUGCCCAGAUGGGAUUAGCUAGUAGGUGGGGUAACGGCUCACCUAGGCGACGAUCCCUAGCUGGUCUGAGAGGAUGACCAGCCACACUGGAACUGAGGCACGGUCCAG